rnacentral:rRNA from 1 species
UAGGGAAUCUUCGGCAAUGGGGGGAACCCUGACCGAGCAACGCCGCGUGAGUGAAGAAGGUUUUCGGAUCGUAAAGCUCUGUUGUUAAGGAAGAACGAGUGUGAGAAUGGAAAGCUCAUACUGUGACGGUACUUAACCAGAAAGGGACGGCUAACUACGUGCCAGCAGCCGCGGUAAUACGUAGGUCCCGAGCGUUGUCCGGAUUUAUUGGGCGUAAAGCGAGCGCAGGCGGUUAGAUAAGUCUGAAGUUAAAGGCAGUGGCUCAACCAUUGUAGGCUUUGGAAACUGUUUAACUUGAGUGCAGAAGGGGAGAGUGGAAUUCCAUGUGUAGCGGUGAAAUGCGUAGAUAUAUGGAGGAACACCGGUGGCGAAAGCGGCUCUCUGGUCUGUAACUGACGCUGAGGCUCGAAAGCGUGGGGAGCGAACAGG